rnacentral:rRNA from 1 species
GACGAACGCUGGCGGCGUGCUUAACACAUGCAAGUCGUACGAGGAACCGGCUCUUCGGUGCUGGUGAUUAGUGGCGAACGGGUGAGUCACACGUGGGUGACCUUCCCUGCACUCUGGGAUAAGCCCGGGACACUUGGUAUCAUACUGGCUACGACCCGUGGCGGCAUAGUCUGCUGGUGGGAAGCCCUCCGGGGUGGUGUGGGAUGGGCCCGCGGCCUAUUAGCUUGUUGGUGGGGUGAUGGAGUUCCAAGGCGACGACGUGUCGCCGGCGAGAGAGGGUGGCCGGUCACAGUGGAACUGAGACACCGCCCGGACUGAGACGCGAGGCAGCAGUGGGGGGGCGGGCGCAGUGGGGGAAAGCCCGAAACAGCGACGCCGCGGGAGGGAUGACGGCGUUCGGGUGGUGAACCUCUAUCGGCAGGGAACUAGCCUGGGGGGUUAAGACUGGGUGACGGUACCUGCGGAAGAAGCACCGGCUAACUACGUG